AAAUCGGCCCUUUUUAGGGCCACAGAAAUGGAGCCGGGAGACCCCCU
rfam:Trichomalopsis sarcophagae strain Alberta scaffold3557, whole genome shotgun sequence.